GCGCAGCAGGCGAGAAAACUUCACAAUGUGCGAAAGCACGAUGAGGGAAUCCCAAGUGCUUGCACGUAAGUGUAAGCUGUUUCUCUGUCUAAAACGCAGAGAGAGUAAGGGCUGGGUAAGACGGGUGCCAGCCGCCGCGGUAAUACCUGCAGCUCGAGUGGUGACCGUUAUUAUUGGGCCUAAAACGUCCGUAGCCGGUUUAAUAAAUGCCUGGGUAAAUCGGACCGCUUAACGGUUCGAAUUCCGGGUAGACUGUUAAACUUGAGACCGGGAGAAGUUAGAGGUACUCCUGGGGUAGAGGUGAAAUUCUGUAAUCCUAGGGGGACCACCAGUGGCGAAGGCGUCUAACUAGAACGGGUCUGACGGUGAGGGACGAAGCCCUGGGGCGCAAACGGGAUUAGAUACCCCUGUAGU
rnacentral:rRNA from 1 species